CCCAGGAACCACCAGAUACGGAAAUACAAACACAGAGUGGGUGUAUCCUCCCGGUACUGCUGGAAACAAUCUCUUCCUUUUUUGCUGUUGCUGUUCAAGUUUGUGCCAGACGGACCUUUUUUGUCAAUCCAUCAUCUCUUGACAUAACUAACAUCUUUUCAUCACAGCAAAGUGCUGAAAGCAUCGUCGUCAUGUCAUGACAUUGCUGAGGAGCAGAGGAGCAUGUUCGGCAGCGCACAAUCCUGGAGUACUUACAAGCAGAUACAGUGUGUAGGCAGAAAAGGGAGAAUGGUCGCAUUUUGGCUUAAAAACUAACGAUAAAGGUGAAGCUAUAACACUGAAACGCCCUCAGGAAGAGGUGCAUUAAAUCAUUGCUAGCUAGUUAGCGGCUAAUAUCCAUUCAUAAUUGGCAGUGUUUUAGCUACUUCUAAAUCACUAAUCCUGGCCUCCAUGGGGACAAAAUUAAGCGAGUUUCUAACAAGUAUCAUCGCUGCAGGACGAGGAAUAGCUCACCGGUGUGACGAUGCAAACAAACGCCAUGGGUGGAUCUACACCUGACAUCCACUGUAUCAAUCAAUCAAUCAAUCAAUGUUUAUCUAUAUAGCCCCAAAUCACAAAUGUCUCAAAGGACUGCACAAAUCAUUACGACUACAACAUUCUCGGAAGAACCCACAAAAGGGCAAGGAAAACUCACACCCAGUGGGCAGGGAGAAUUCACAUCCAGUGGGACGCCAGUGACAAUGCUGACUAUGAGAAACCUUGGAGAGGACCUCAGAUGUGGGCAACCCCCCCCCCUCUAGGGGACCGAAAGCAAUGGAUGUCGAUACCAAGUAACGAUACCAUGUACAAGAGCGUAUCUAGUCGAUUCCAAUAUGAUUACAUCUAUAUUUCUUUUGGUCAGAAAAAAUAACAUAAAAAAAUCAUAUUAUGUUUAUAAACUUAGUAAAUAUGUCCCUGGACAAAUGAGUACUUAAAUUAUGACCAAUGUAUGACCCUGUAACUACUUGGUAUCAGAUCAAUACCUACAUUUGUGGUAUCAUCCAAAACUAAUGUAUAGCAUCCAAACAGAAGAAUAAGUGAUUAUAACAUUUCAAUAGAGGUGUAGAUACAACCUUUUGAAACAGAAAAUAAGCAGAUAUUAACAGUAAAUGAACAAGUAGAUUAAUAAUCAUUUUUGCAUGCUCAUUCUGAAGAAGGCGAAAAGCUUGUCACACCGAGACAUGGAUUAUUUUUGCUUCUUCGAUGCAAGGAGAAUACGGGACGAGCCAGACGUUACUGUGAGUACACGGUUUAUUUGGAAUGCUAAAUACAAAAAUAAUCGAACUAAGGGCGCUCACAAAGAGGUACAAAACUUGGCUACAAAAAUACAAGCAGGAAAACAAAACACCUCCUCGAUGGCAUGAAAGACGAUAAACUAUAAACUUAAACUUGCACUGUGGCAGAACUAUGAACAACUAAAACAAAAACACUUACUGUGACCGAAACAAGGGGCAUGGAUAGCAGGGUGCGUAGCAGGUAAUCAUGAAGGCAUGAAGGCAAGCACAUGCAAAAAUCCCAGACUGAUGGACAGAAAGUAAAAUGCUUAAAUAGUGGCAGUGGUAAUGAGGAACAGGUAAUGAGGGCAUGGGCGUGACUAGGAGGGCAAGGUGAAAAUCAAUGAGUUGUCAUGGUAACAAAAACAAACCAGGAAGUGAAAAAAACGGGACAAGAGUCCAGAAAACAAAACAAAACAUGAUCAAACAUAAAACCAGAUUUAUAGGCGUGACAAAGCUAAACAGUCGAUGACAGUUGUGGUUGCUCAGAGUUGUCAGUGCUAACAAAAAGCUAUAGAAGCAAAGGUGUCAAAAGUGUGGCCAUUUAGCUUGUUUUUUAUUGGCUUGUGAAACAUUGCGAAUAAUUCAAACAAAAAAAAAAAUAAAGCUAAAGGCACAAUGAAAAAAAAAGCCCUACAUGUUCAUUCUAAUAACGGAUACAAGCCCAAUAUCCUGUUUUAAAAGCAGCUUCUCAAAAUGUUGUGUUCAUGUCCUAAUAUUUGAUCAAAUUUCAAGGCAAUUCUUGUAAUUUUACACUCAAUUUGAGCCUUUUCACGUUCUUUCCCAGUUGAAUGGACAACCACCAUGGCUGUCCAUUCAACUAGGGAUGUCCUGAUACAACCGUUUCAGUUCAUGAUAUUGACAUUGGACUCUUGAGUAUUGACCAAAACUGAUCCAACCCAAAUUGUUGGAAUUUAUUUACAUUUUAACUUUUCAAUUAUUUCAUUAACAGACAACAAUAAACUCAAACAUUCUGAAUAUUAUUUUUUUUUUUUUACAAAAAAUCUGUCCAACACAACAUGAAAAUGAGGCCAAUAAAACUAAGCCAGAGGUCAGCAACCCAAAAUGUUAAAAAGAGCCAUAUUGAAGCAAAAAUACAAAAACAUUUAAAAAAAAAAAUCUGCCUGGAUCCGCAAAAAUUCAAAAGUCUUAUAUGUGUAUCGGCUUGGGACAUCUCUGCGCUGCUGAUCCGCCUCCGCUUGAGAUGGUUUCCUGCUGGCUCCGCUGUGGACGGGACUCUCGCUGCUGUGUUGGAUCCGCUUUGGACUGGACUCUCGCGGCUAUGUUGGAUCCACUAUGGAUUGAACUUUCACGGUAUCAUGUUAGACCCGCUCGACAUCCAUUGCUUUCGUCCUCUCAAGGUUCUCAUAGUCAUCAUUGUCACCGACGUCCCACUGGGUGUGAGUUUUCCUUGCCCUUAUGUGGGCCUACCGAGGAUGUCGUAGUGGUUUGUGUUGUGGUUUGUGCAGCCCUUUGAGACACUAGUGAUUUAGGGCUAUAUAAGUAAAUAUUGAUUGAUUGAUUGAUAUACUGUGUUAUAAUGAAGGCAACAGUGAUAUAAGUGUCUAUAUUAGUUAUAUUAGACAAUCAAAAUUACUGUUCUGUGUGACUGCCAUCUACUGCUCACACUUAUCAUUACACCAUGUACCAAAUAAAAUUGCUUGAAGGUCGGUAAGCACAACCAGAAUUAUUCCGUAUAUUAGGGUCACCGGGUUAUAAGCCGCACUGUUCGAAUUUUGAGAAAAUGAAAGGAUUUUAAGUAAACCUUAUAGUAGAAAAAAUACAGUAAAUGCAAGAUGAUAUAAUCUAAUACUUGUUUUUUUUUUCUUGUAUUGGACUGAUCUCAGAUAUCAAUAUUGGAUCAGUAGACCCCUAGUUUCAAUUGAGUUUUCAGAUUGUUUUGACCUCACUGAAGAUCUUAAACUCCCCCAAUCAUGAGACCCAAGAAUGAGGAUUUUAAACACUGAGAGCUGUAGCAAUUCUUGAUUUGGCCCACUAAUCCUCUUCUGUGGUAUAGUUUUGAUUUAACAUGGAUGUUUUUAUUUGCCAUUGGCAAAUUUUAAUUGACGUCUACCAAUUUUGGUCUAUUUAAAGGGGAACAUUAUCACAAUUUCUGAAGGGUUAAAACCAAUAAAAAUCAG